rnacentral:rRNA from 1 species
GGGAGCNUUAAUGGCAGUCGAGGGGCAUCGGGAGGGAAGCUUGCUUUCCUUGCCGGCGACCGGCGCACGGGUGAGUAACACGUAUGCAACCUGCCCUCUUCAGGGGGACAACCUUCCGAAAGGGAGGCUAAUCCCGCGUAUAUCGGUUUCGGGCAUCCGAGAUCGAGGAAAGAUUCAUCGGAAGAGGAUGGGCAUGCGGCGCAUUAGCUUGACGGCGGGGUAACGGCCCACCGUGGCGACGAUGCGUAGGGGUUCUGAGAGGAAGGUCCCCCACACUGGUACUGAGACACGGACCAGACUCCUACGGGAGGCAGCAGUGAGGAAUAUUGGUCAAUGGGAGAGAUCCUGAACCAGCCAAACCGCGUGAGGGAAGACGGCCCUAUGGGUUGUAAACCUCUUUUGUCGGAGAACAAAACCCGGGACGUGUCCCGGACUACGUGUAUCCGAAGAAAAAGCAUCGGCUAACUCCGUGCCAGCAGCCGCGGUAAUACGGAGGAUGCGAGCGUUAUCCGGAUUUAUUGGGUUUAAAGGGUGCGUAGGCGGUCCGUUAAGUCAGCGGUAAAAUUGCGGGGCUCAACCCCGUCGAGCCGUUGAAACUGGCAGACUUGAGUUGGCGAGAAGUACGCGGAAUGCGCGGUGUAGCGGUGAAAUGCAUAGAUAUCGCGCAGAACUCCGAUUGCGAAGGCAGCGUACCGGCGCCAGACUGACGCUGAGGCACGAAAGCGUGGGGAUCGAACAGGAUUAGAUACC